CAUUAAGUGGCUGAAUAGUUAAGCAUUGGUCUCUUAAACCAAAUUAUAGUACAUUAACAAAUACUCUUAAUGA
rnacentral:tRNA from 2 species